CAUAAGUAGGCUUCUGCGGUAGCGGCGGCGAAUGAAGAGGUUGUGUUCGUACUUUGCCGCCAUAUUUAACAGCAUUACAGCUGCACUAUCUGUGCGCGCCGCACACAGACACACAGUGGUCGUGUUGUACACGGUCGGUCGCUGAGCGUUACGUCAGCGCCGGUCGCAGUGCCGCCUCGCCGGAAGAACCAAAUUGUCUCACGACGCGGCGGCGUUCUCCCUAACGACGUACCCCACUUCGGGGAAAUUCGCGGACGGCUUGUCGCUACACGAUUUUGACCCACACCUCCUACCACAACAUCACCACCAACGUCAUUGUUGGCGGACGAAAACGCGGCCGGUUCGUCGUCGUCGUCCGCCGGUAACCAGUGCCGGCAACUGGACGCGCCGAUUUCGCCUACACUGUAAAAAGUGGUGAUACGAACAUUUUUUUUAACCUUUCAUUAUUUACGUGAACUUUUUCGCUUUACGUAUAUUUUUUCCUGAAAAUAAAAUGGUGUAUCUCGUUAGGCGUUAGUGAAUCGUGUUUUGAUUAUUAUUAUUAUUUUUUUUGUUUUCGUUUGCUUGUUCUUUAAGUAUCUAAAUCGCACUUUUCCGCCGAGUCUUGCCGGCGUUCGGUGAAUCGCCUACGUUUCAAUUUGGUUUUUCCGAAACGGAUAAAACGAUACGCCCGUCCAUUGUUUGUGCAACCGCUCCAAGACGAGUCGUCUGUUUCGUCAACAAACGCUUAACAGUCUGACGGAUAAUAUUUGUUUUUGCACUGAACAACGCCUGGAGAAUAAAGAAAUGCCAUACAAGUGAUUGGCUUUUAUCAAUGUUGUGUUCCAUUAGGUACCUACGUUCAGUUUGUUUAGUAGAGUAUAGUAUGUUUUAUCCAUUUUGUGUUUAUUGUCUGUUGUAUUGAAGAAAUAAAAUGUCACUAUUUGUAUUAAAUAAAUACCUACAUCGUUUAGUUUGCAGACAACCAUGUUUUGAAAAACCAUUUGUUUUCAGAAAAUGUACGGUUAUUGGUCAUUGAAGAACAAAUAUUGCAAUGUUAUUCUGAACAUUUAUUUCAAUCGGAUUUUUACAAAUUGGAUAUUACAUACUAUAUUAGUCAGUGCAAUUAAUAAUAAUAAUAAUAAUAAUGUUUAAAACAAAAUAUUAUAACAUACUGAAGGGAAACAAAUGUUUCAGAGUAAAUGCCCUACUAUUCGCUCAAACUUCUGUGUGCGCUAAGACAGAGUACUAUAUGGCUACUUAUUAUAGGCUACUUCCUACUGGUGGAGGCAUUUAUUAAAGGUAAUUGGUAUAUUUUCUUUUUACUUUAUUAGUAUUCUGAAUUAUAUUUUAUUAAUCAAACAUUUGAAAGAAUUUGAACUUUAUGUUUAUUUUUUUUUUAUAGAAAGUUAUUUUCUAUAAUCAAUUAAGUAUACAUUUACUCUUUAGAUUCUGCUAAACCUUUCAAAUUAGACUCUGUCUGUGUUAUUAACAUAUUGGCCUGUAGUAGGUGUAUUUAAUCUUAUUAAUAUUAGUUUAAAUAUCAAUUACUUAUAAACAUUAUACAUAGUUGCCUAUAAAUUUAACAAAAAUUAUUAACUCUUCAAAAUGUUUAAUAUAGAAAUAGUUCUUUUUCUAUAGUUUUUUUUAGGUUAUAUAUCUAUUUCAAGUAUAAAAUGUUAAAUAUAUUGAAUAUAUUCUGGUUACUUCUCUUACUAUAGAAAAGUAAUCCUGUGUUCCUCAAUUUAACAGAUUAUACCUAAACCGGACGAAGAAAGUUAAUAACCAAAUUCAGAAUUGGAAAUUAUCUAUAUAAAUUUUACAGGUAAAUUCAACAUUAUCUAUGUUUUAAUAUAAUAAUGUUAUAGUAAACUCUUUAUUUUUAAAAGUAUGAGGCUAUGGUAUUAAGAUAUUAUUUAUAAAUUACAUUCUAUAUUUUCGUAUUAUUUUAUGUGUUUAAAAUGUGGUCUUGACUGAAAUUUCAACAUAAAUUUAUUUAUAUUUAUUUUUAUUUUGGUAUUUAUAUAAUUAGUUAUUAUUCUUGUAUAAAUUAUUCAAUUUAAAAAUAAUAUACCUAUUUAUUUUAUCAUUAUUAUAACUAGUUAAAUAAUAUAAGACAUUAUUCCUAUAUCUAUGUGUUAGUACUUAGUUAUUUCUAAAAUAUCUUAAGAAAAAUAUUAAUACAAAUCAAGCAAUAAAUAAUUAACACUGGUAUAUUUUUGUUUUAGCUGAAUGUUUAAAAAUGUAAAUACUUAUUCUUAAUAAGUAAUUUAAGAAUUAAAAUGGGUUAUUAAAUAACAAUUGUUUUUAUUUUUUUUAUAUAAAAUCAUAUUAUUGAACUGGUUACAAUAAAAAAUGCUGAUAUUGAA